rnacentral:rRNA from 1 species
GUGCCAGCAGCCGCGGUAAUACGUAGGCAGCAAGCGUUGUUCGGAGUUACUGGGCGUAAAGGGUGCGUAGGCGGCUUUUUAAGUUUGGUGUGAAAUCUCCCGGCUCAACUGGGAGGGUGCGCCGAAUACUGAGAGGCUAGAGUGCGGGAGAGGAAAGUGGAAUUCCUGGUGUAGCGGUGAAAUGCGUAGAUAUCAGGAGGAACACCGGUGGUGUAAACGGCUUUCUGGACCGUAACUGACGCUGAUGCACGAAAGCGUGGGUAGCAAACAGGAUUAGAUACCCUGGUAGUCC